GCCCGGUUAGCUCAGCCGGUAGAGCGUUGGACUUUUAAUCCAACGGUCAAGGCUGAAGUCCCCUUAUCGGGC
rnacentral:tRNA from 1 species